UUCCGGUUGAUUCCUGCCGGACCUGACUGCUAUCGGAUUGAUACUAAGCCAUGCGAGUCAUUGUAGCAAUACAAGGCAUACGGCUCAGUAACGCGUAGUCAACCUACCCUAUGGACGGAAAUAACCUCGGGAAACUGAGAAUAAUAUCCGAUAGAACAUUAUGCCUGGAAUGGUUUAUGUUCCAAAUGAUUUAUCGCCGUAGGAUGGGACUGCGGCCUAUCAGUUUGUUGGUGAGGUAAUGGCCCACCAAGACUAUUACAGGUACGGGCUCUGAGAGGAGUAGCCCGGAGAUGGGUACUGAGACACGGACCCAGGCCCUAUGGGGCGCAGCAGGCGAGAAAACUUUGCAAUGUGCGAAAGCACGACAAGGUUAAUCCGAGUGAUUUCUGCUAAAGAAAUCUUUUGUUAGUCCUAGAAACACUAACGAAUAAGGGGUGGGCAAGUUCUGGUGUCAGCCGCCGCGGUAAAACCAGCACCUCAAGUGGUCAGGAUGAUUAUUGGGCCUAAAGCAUCCGUAGCCGGCUCUGUAAGUCCUCGGUUAAAUCUGUACGCUUAACGUACAGGCUGCCGGGAAUACUGCAUAGCUAGGGAGUGGGAGAGGUAGACGGUACUCGGUAGGAAGGGGUAAAAUCCUUUGAUCUAUUGAUGACCACCUGUGGCGAAGGCGGUCUACCAGAACACGUCCGACGGUGAGGGAUGAAAGCUGGGGGAGCAAGCCGGAUUAGAUACCCGGGUAGUCCCAGCUGUAAACUAUGCAAACUCAGUGAUGCAUUGGCUUGUGGCCAAUGCAGUGCUGCAGGGAAGCCGUUAAGUUUGCCGCCUGGGAAGUACGUACGCAAGUAUGAAACUUAAAGGAAUUGGCGGGGGAGCACCACAA
rnacentral:rRNA from 2 species